rnacentral:lncRNA from 1 species
CUGAUGAAUUUUCUCCUAGGAUAAAUAUCUUAGUCUGAUGAAUCUUUCUCCUAAGAUAGAAAACCUAGUCUGACGAAUUUUCUCCUGGGAUAAUUUUAAAAAAAAACAAAAAAAAGAAGAAAAUCCAAAAUCAUGGUAGCGUAGGACUUUUUUCCCUUUUAUCCCGGAUUAACCCGUUGAAUUCCUCGACAUAAACCGAGGAUCAUCUUUCCUUUUUCUCCCCAGCAUAACCUGAGGGUCUUUCCUUUUUCUCCUCGACAUAACCCGAGGGUCUUUUCUUUUCCUCCCCAUCAUAACCUGAGGGUCUUUUCUUCCCCCCUCCCCUCGGCAUAACAUGAGGGUCAUUUUCCUUUUAUCCCCAGUAUAACCUCACGUCUUUUUGUUUUCUUCCCCGGCAUAACCCGAUGAUUAAUUUCUUUCUAUCCCCAGUAGACUCAUUUUUCUCUUAUCCCGGCAUAAACCGCAGAUCCUCUGGCAUAACCCAGGAGUCGUCUUCUCUCGGCAUAACCCGUGGACCCCCUGGCAUAACCCAGGAACCUUUUUCAUUCAUCCCGGCAUAACCCGCGAAUCUCCCUAGCAUAACCCAGGAAUCUUUUUUCAUUUCAUCCCGGCAUAACCCGUGGAUUUUUUCUUUCAUCUCCAACAGGAACUCUUCAUUUCCAUCCCGGCAUAACCCGUGGAUCCUCCUCUUAUCUCCAGCAGGGACCCUUUCUCCUUUCCAGCAUAACCUGGCAUUCUUUCCAAAGGAUACACAAUCUUGACUUUUAUUGUUUUCAAUAAAGAAAUAGCUUAGAUUUGUGUUGCAAAUAACUCACGAAAUUUUCCCAGUAAAAGAUGGGGCAGAAAAUUUUGUUCGUUUGUUUGUUUUGGUGCCUGAGCAGGUUUUACCUCGAGGCACAGGAUUCGAGAUAGCCGAAAGAGUGAGUCUCAAUCCAGAAUAAAGGAAAAGAAGAAAAGAGCAAAAAGAAGCAAACUCAGAAUGUUCAAAGAAGAAAAGAAUGCGGACUGCUCAAAUUUGAUUCAAAAUCACAAGUUUCGCAUGUCUUGCUUUGAUCCAAAGUUUAAGAAAGAUCCAGCACCUACAACUAACAAGCAUCAAAGUUCAGAUCGGAGUCCGCAGCAGGACCUAGCCAACACUCGAGAUGAAGCUUCAAAAAUUUAUAGAUAGGAAUCUUGUAACCCGUAGCUCAUAGGCUUAGUUAGUCUUUUUAAUUUUGAUUUUGAUGUAACAAACGGGACCGCGAACCGGAACCUCGAC